rnacentral:rRNA from 1 species
UUCUAUAUGAAAUUUUAUAUAGUAUAACCUGCUCAAUGUUACUAAUAAAUAGCCGCAGAUUCUGUGCUAAGGUAGCAUAAUAACUUGCUUCCUAAUUAGGAGAUAGAAUGAAGGGUAAAACGUUUAAUUUUCUGUCUCUAUAAAAAAGAACGAAAUUAAAAUAAAAGUUAAAAUACUUUUAAAAACUAGUGGGACGAUAAGACCCUGAUAAACUAAAUUUUUAGUUGGGGAAACAAUUUAAUAAAUAUUUAAUUCUAUUUUAUACAAAACUUU